GCAGCGAUGGCGUCCACACUCAAGCGUGCCUACCUCUCCAUCUAUAACUGGUCUGUCUUCUUUGGACGGUUAGCUGCUUCCUCCCCACUUUGAAAUCUCGAUCUCCUUUCUUGUUGAUGGGCUUGUUGAAUGAUUCGUAUAUGUGUGGAUGUAGGGUGCAGGUGCUCUACUACGCGCUGCUGGAUAGUUUACCUGGACAUGUACGUCGCCAGUCGAGAGGCGUCUCCAGCUUGCGCAGACUGCUGUCUGGCUCUAUCAUUGAUCAGUUAUCUGUAACUUGCCGACGUGUUUUCUAGGCUGCUAGUUUUGUAUUUUUCCUAUAACUGCAUGAGUCAUUCUCGCUGAAAUGACAUGAUUUAGCUUUUAGUUCUUCUGGCCAAUCAUGUGUUUU
rnacentral:lncRNA from 1 species